UAAAAUGAUAGAGGUGCGGUGUUCAUCAGUAUUAUAUAAUGGAAUUGCGGUGAUUUUAUAUAGGAAAGGGGAUACUGCCGAAGGAUUUAUUUUUACCGAAAAAGUAAGUCCUGGUAUAUUACAGAAUAUGUAAUGUACUGUCACAAAGAUGUGGAGCGCUAUCCUAAAG
rfam:Anaerofustis stercorihominis DSM 17244 Scfld_02_0 genomic scaffold, whole genome shotgun sequence.